GUUUGUUUUCCGCGGCCAUCCUCCACUUGACAACCGCCUUGCCGCACCCUUCUUUCUGCCGUUCUCUUUCCUCCUGUCCUCGCAUGUCCUCCUGGCUCACCGCGGAUGCCUGGCUGCGUUCCAGGUGGGUUUAUUUUGUGGGUUUCGCGUUGUCGCGAAUGGCAGCCUAGUCGCGCGCGAGCUGGUACACGUCAGCCCUGCCCGGACCGGCAGUCUGCUUCACGCCAGUGUAACCAUUUGGUGCGCCUGCUGUGGAGCCGCGUGAGGCUGUCUCAUCUUGAAAGGUAACAAGCAACUGCAAUUGCUGCUAACUCUAACUUCUUUCUUGCUGCUUGCUAGCCUGGAGCACUCGAUGGCGUCUAGCAUUUGCAUUCACACUAGCUUUCAUUUCUCUGGACUGACAGUAAUGGGCCGGUGCGUGCAGAACUACAUGUAUGGCAGUGUGAAUGGCAGUGUGCCUGCACGUUUGGGGGGAUUCCCGACCGCAACAAUUGGCUGGGGAGAGGAGACGGGCUUUUUUCAUUGACUGUGCGGGCGAGCGUGCCGUUGCGCUCGCCUCCCACCCAGGAUUUGAGCGUACGGCUGCUGUGUGGGCGCCGCGUGGUUUGUAGCAUUGUUUGCGCUGUGUUUUUCCUAGUUGGGUCUGGGCGAGCUGGUUCCUGGUGGGCUUCCACAGAAGGCGCAGCCCAAUGGGGCGGAGCUGCCAGGAGGUCUGAGCGCUGUUGAGCCGUGUAGAAAUAGGUUGUUGUCGUGUUACCGUAGCAGUCGCGGGGGUGUUUAGGGGCGUUUGGUGUCGUGUUUCGGUCAGGUCAGGUUCGUGGAGGCUGGAGGCGCCCAUGCAGGGGCCAGGCUUGCGGUGUUGCUCCCUCUCGCAUGAGCUAUCGUGCGUAGCCUGUCACGCAUCGGAUUGAUCACCCGCUCGCUGUUCCUGUGUGCACUGGGGACUAAGCUA
rnacentral:lncRNA from 1 species